GACGUAGGGUGCAAGCGUUGUCCGGAAUCACUGGGCGUAAAGAGCUCGUAGGCGGGGUCGUGCGUCGCGAAGUAAAUUUCAAUGCUCAACGUUGAAAUCAUUUGCGAUACGGCGACUCUUGAGGACAGGAGAGGAAAGCGGAAUUCCGAGUGUAGCGGUGAAAUGCGUAGAGAUUCGGAGGAACACCAGUGGCGAAGGCGGCUUUCUGGCCUGAUUCUGACGCUGAGGAGCGAAAGCCAGGGUAGCGAACGGG
rnacentral:rRNA from 1 species